rnacentral:lncRNA from 1 species
CAAUAAUAAGCAAUUAUUGGAUGAGGCUGAGCAUGAUAUCAAGAAUUACUCAGACCGAGGUCAAUGUUAUCUGCCGAAGCGAAGCUGAGGCGGAUAACAUAGACCGAGGCCUGAAUAAUUCUUGAUAUCAUGCGAAAGCCGAAUCCAAUAAUUGUUUUAUUAUACAUUUAAAGACAUGAGAAACGUAUAAAACGAUUCCUGUUCAUGAGGUAGGAAAAGUACAAUUCAAAUAUCAAACACCUUGCACAAAAUCAAAGGUCAGCUAAAUAUUCUACUUCUAUUUACCCCUGUGUGGCUUUUUUCGUGCUUUCACUAUCCUUAUCUGCCAAUAAUUUGGAG